GAGUAACUAUGACUCUCUUAAGGUAGCCAAAUGCCUCGUCAUCAUACAAAAAGGUCUCGGGAUUCACGUCCCGGGAUCAGGUCGCCACGGUCGCCAUGGUCGCCAUACGGAAGCAUCGUGUUCAGAAAACCACUUCCGAGAGGGAGGUUCCGGGCUUCCCCCGUAUCCUUUUUUUCGGUUGAGGAGAUCAAAGCCAAAGUACUCGGAGUGUUCUUGCCUGCGUCGACGGGGUAGCUACCUGUUGCUGUGGGUCCAUACACUACGGGGAAUGGCCGUACCAACUGCUCGCCAGGUCGCCAUGGUCGUCAUACGGAAGCAGCGUGUUCACAAAACCACUUCCGAGAGGGAGGUUCCGGGGAUCCCCCGUAUCCUUUUUUUCGGUUGAGGUGAUCCAGCCAAAGUACCUUCGGGUGUUCUUGCCUGCACCGAUGGGGUAGCUCCCUGUCACCGCGGGUCCAUACACUCGGGGCGAAUGGCCGCACCAAAUUGCCCGGAGGACUCUUACGAGUAACAAUGGGCAGCCAACCAAUAUCCCGGGUAGCCCCGGGGUUGCGGAGGUUCAGAGACUAAAAGGUGUAACGGGUUAUCCCGGAGGAGUCAUAGUCCGUCGCCAGGUCCCCGAAGAGUUGUGAGCGAGUGGCUUGUAAGUCAUCAUGUCCCGGGAUAACCUCGGGAUAUCUUGUCUAAGCAUUGGCCAGAGGCUCCGAAUGCUCGGUAGGGUUCCGCCACCAGACGUUAAUUUGUGACGCGCAUGAAUGGAUUAAUGAGAUUCCCACUGUCCCUACCUACUAUCUAGCGAAACCACAGCCAAGGGAACGGGCUUGGCACAAUUAGCGGGGAAAGAAGACCCUGUUGAGCUUGACUCUAGGCACAGAAGCGAGGUGAUUCUAAAGGUGUAGCAUAGGUGGGAGGGCCUGGCCCGACCUUGAAAUACCACCACUUUCGACAUCGCUUUGCUAAUGCUGUAACGAACGAACGGCCCCCGGGCCCGUCGCCCGCAAGGGUGGCACCCGGUAAGGUCAUAUUCUAGCGCUUUCCUAGUCGGAUACGAUGGCUUGGCUCCUCUGGGUGAGUACUCUGGGACCGCAAACUGGGCUUCCGGGUCUGGUGCGCGUUGUUUCCGGGGGAACCAGGGAUGGUUGGGCUGUCCUCUGUCUGGCGAAUCGGGUACGUAAGCCGUGUAGCAGACCAUCUGUGUUGGGGAGUUUGGCUGGGGCGGAAAACUGCUACACGGCAACGGCAGUCUCCUAAGGUCCACUCAGAGACGACAGAAACGUCUCGUAGAGCAUAAAGGCAAAAGUGGGCUUAACUCGCAUUUUCAGUAGUAAUGUGAAGCAGGAAAUUGAGGCUUAACGAUCCUUAGCAGCGGGUGCCAGCCCAUGCUUGAGGUGAGAGAAAAGUUACCACAGGGAUUGAUCAAACGGUGGCUUUGGGGAAGGCGUGGUGACGGUCGUUAGUACGGGGGGGUGCUGCAACAUCCCUCCCGAAACCAUCCGGUACCCAAUGGGGCAUAAGUACGGAACGCUGCAGUAAGUUCCCGAACAUCCUCGUUACUUCCUUACGGUUCGUUCACUAGUAGGAUUUCCCUCCCGGGUUAUCUGAGGGCGUCUGAAUCAGGGUUCCAUACGGUGCGUUCGGCUUGGGGAAACUUGUUAGAUUUGACGGUAAUACGGAAGGUUUAGGUACCAUCCUGAGCUCGAAGGUCCAACUCGUAAAAUCUCGCCGGGUUUCGUGCAUAGUCAGCUGGGGGCGAGGCGCAGGUUGCCCUCCGGCAAGGCGACACACCUGGAUGCUGGGAAGACCCAUCCCAAACAGUAUCGGUACCAAGCGUUCUCUGGUGACACCAGGGCGUGGAGUGGCCAUCCCCUCUUCGGAGGCCGGUGGUUACGGGUAAUAAUCUGAUGCUGGGGUUCACUAGCAGGCGACAAGGUCAACCCAAGGGGCUAACAGUGUGGUUGAGCGGGUUUUCCCGCCUUCCCGAACAUUUGCCCUAUGGUAAUGGUGACUGAGCGUCUCAACGACUGGUAAGGUGUGGGCAUUGUUGGGUUUCAAGCUAUCCCGGGAUAACCUCGGGUAGCGAUGGGAUCUGGUGGUGCUUAAGGAACAGUCUACUCCCACCCGCAAGGGUGCCCGGGCCACCAACCCCGACUUUCUUGGGAUCCAUCACUGGGUCCCGGGAUAUUCGGGUAACCCACGACUGCCGGGUUAGGUUCAGGGGCGGAGCAUCUCGGGAGACACCAUAGCCGUUUGAGUAGGGUCUGUACGGGGAAUUUUCACUCCAAACCACAAAGAUCCGAAAGGUUACGGGAUAUCCCGGGGUUAACUCGCGUGGUAUUGGGAACUGGCUUGUGGCCGCCAAGCGUUCAUAGCGACGUGGC
rnacentral:rRNA from 1 species